UUUCCCUCCCUAGGUUUUGAAACAUGAAUCCAGGAGGAGCUUCAUCUGCUCCAAAAUUUGAUGCAAGUUUAGAUGCAGAAUGGCAACAGUGGAAGGCAACACACGGAAAAGUAUAUGGCCCGGAUGAAGAAGGAUGGAGGAGGACAGUGUGGGAGAAGAAUAAGAAAAUGGUUGACCUGCACAACGAGGAAUACAAGCAAGGGAGAUCGGGCUACACCUUGGGAAUGAAUGCUUUUAGUGACAUGACCCAGGAAGAAUUCAGGCGGACGAAGUGCGGUAAAAUGUAGAAGUGCAAGAAAAGGAGAGUGUUCCGGAAACCUUACGUUGCUGAAAUCCCCCCAAGAGUGGAAUGAUGAAAAGAAGGCUAUGUGGACACGGACAACGGGGAUGAGAGCAUGAGUGGGAGUG